rnacentral:rRNA from 1 species
GACAGAGGGUGCAAACGUUGUUCGGAAUCACUGGGCUUAAAGGGCGCGUAGGCGGACAGGUAAGUCAGGGGUGAAAGCCCACGGCUCAACCGUGGAAGGGCCUUUGAUACUGCCUGUCUUGAGGGAGGUAGGGGCGUGCGGAACUUCCGGUGGAGCGGUGAAAUGCGCAGAUAUCAGGAGGAACACCAGUGGCGAAGGCGGCACUCUGGGCCGGUACUGACGCUGAGGAGCGAAAGCGUGGGGAGCGAACAGG